UGUUUUUUAAUAUAAAACUACUUUGGCAUUUUAUUAAGAAUUAUUGGUUAUGGUCAAGUUAAUAAACCUAUACAGUGACCUAUUUUUUUUUCCUGAUAGUUGAUAACACUUUUUUUUUUUUUUAUCAGACUAGAAAGUAAGUGUCCCACUUCCUUUUGGGUUGUUAUCCCAUUAUUGUUACUUCAGUCCUGGACUGCUUGAAGUUCCAAAACACUGAACAGUGAUCGAUAAUGCUCAUAGAGAGGCUUGAUCGAUCGGGGAGCCAUGUCUCCUUGUUUUGUGCUGAGCUCAGGGCGUACCAGUGUGGAGUAGAUGGCAGAGGAAUCCGCUCCGUACUGGAAGUAGUUGGCGUACGCGUGUGCCGGUGCGUAAGGGGAGCCGUACACCCCGAGCGCCGCACUCAGCUCCGCGCGCGCUCCCGACACCAGCCGCUUGUCACAGGCGGGCGGGCAGCAGAAGGACGCGGCGGCGGCAGCCUGGGGAGCACUCGAACCGUCCGGUACCGACCUGGAAAUCGAAUCGCAGCAAGUCGUACUGGGCUUUGACGACACGAAAAACUGCGUGAAGAAAAUCACGGAAGGAGACGUUAUUUUUACGCGUUGCUCCAGGCACAAGUCCACACCUUCUAUAGCUAUUCUAGGUACAUUUUAAAGAAAAAAUAAUAAUGAUAAUAAUAAAGUCUUGGACAAUUCCCAGCCACCAGCCAGCGCUCACCUAUCACAUGACUGCUACCAACCAGAGAUAACACAUGCUUCCUCCAAGACACGUGAAGCUGCUGACUGCAUCUUUCCAUGCACAGGAGGAAGUUACACAUGCUCAUGAUCCGCUAAUGUCACCAUGAUUGACAGAAGACAGGCAGCGUUCCAUCCCUCCCAGUGAGACAGCACAGCCAGGUUUACUCUCUUGGACUCCUGGUGAUGAAUGGCUGUGCGAUUGUUAGGAUUAAAACGCACAAUCUCUGGAUAAUAGGGUGAACACUUUUCUGUUGCACCACUCAGGAGCACCUAUGCUGUUAUUUAACAAAGAAAUCAUUAAAAUGGUGAAGAGUUAUGGAAAAUGUUUGACAGUUAUGGAAGGAAAGGAAAGGAGACAAGUAGAACUCAGCACCAAGUGUAACCUUGACCCCGUUUGGAUUUAAAGGAGAACUGAAGUCAUUUUUAAACUUGCUUUAUUUCUUAAUUAACGUGUUAUUCAAUUACAUUUUCGGUUUUAGUAACCUUAUACCGUGACUCGUAUUGAAAACUAACUGCAAUUAAAUAUUAUACGUAUCGGCCUAUUCAGUUUUUAGUCAUGUUGAAUUUAGUUCGUUUGGUCCACGGCAGGCGUCGCUUAUCCGCGCGAUCUUCACGAGACUUGUGCGAGACUUUGAAACGUGAAGUGUCAGCCAGGUGACAGUGCCGCCAUUUUAAAAACUGUUUUCUAAACGAAAUAUCGCACAAAAACGAGUUUAAAUGACGAUUACUGCCUACUUUUUUCAAACUUUCCUGAUUGCUAUCAAAACAAACACAACUUCCGGCUUGAUUACAUCAGCAUUCGAAAGAGGGCGCGCACGUCUUUUGACAGCGUUGGCAGAUGUUGGUCACUUUGAUUUCAGCUGUACGUUUUUCUUCCGUCCUACGAUGUCUCGCACAGGUCUCAACGAAUCUCGUUUACGGCCAUUGCUUUGACAUACAGACUGAUAUAUUACAGAGCAUAUUUCAAACACUCAUAACUUGCUAUAGCAGCGACAAAAUAGUGAUCAAAAAUGCAUUCCUAUAUUUAAUAAAAUGAGAUAAAUAGAAUUUUGAUGAUAAAAAAUUGCCUUCAGUUCUCCUUUAAUGUAAAAUGUAAUCUAGUACAUUUGCAAGUUACAAAGUUAAUUCUAUACAAAGCCCAAAAUGUGUAUUAAAAAAAGUAAAUAAACGGUGGCAGGGUUGCCAUUAUGUUACUAUAAAAUUAACAUUAUUUUAUAGUCAUUACAAUUUACAGUUUUGUACUGUUAAUGAAAAAUACAGUAUUAAAUUUUGUUUUAUGUUGUA